AGAAACACUCUGGUUGUAGCCCAGAGAUUACAAUGCAGCAUGACAGUACCAACAAAGGACAGCCUCACCAUGGUGGUGAUCCAUAAGGUGAGUCUUUAAAAGGAAGAGAAAUUGUCCAGGAGGACAAGUGGACAACAGGGAACCAGCAGGGUGAAGAGAACAUGCAAAGUAUUAUUCCUGAAGACCCAAACUUUAAGAAAACUGUAAGGAGGAUAUGGAGAAUAUGAUUCUAAGUGGUCUGAAGUAUAACUUUUGUCUGAUAAUUCCUGAAUAAAUGACUGCAGUUCUGAUAACAUGGCAAGCAGAAGAUAGCACCUUCCUCACGGGCUUACCUAUAAGAAAAGUUCCAUAAUAGCAGAAUGACAAGGUCCUUCAGCAAAUCCCUGGAGAAGGCAGCCUUCAUGAGAGAAGUCAUCCUCCACACAGAGCUUCCCAGGCAGGAAUUCUGGCUGAGAGCACAGACCACAAGGCCUGAGGCCUUUCCAAGGAAGGGUUUGAGACAAGAGCUUUGAAGAUUGGAAGACAGAACCACCAGAAAAAAGAAGGGAUGCAUGAGCAUCUGCAAAGAUAAACAAAAGAAAAGGCAGGAUAAUUUGCUAAAAGGAAAUGAAGAAAACAACUAGUAACACAAGCACACACACAAAAAGAAGGGCGUUCAGAUAACAUCAGUUCAAAGAAUGGCUACUCUGUGCAGUUAGUCCUUUUCCAUUUCAGAAAAACGAAAAAAAGACGAAAGAUGAAAAUGGGGGGAGAGCAGCAAAGAGAAAAGGAAUAGUGACUAACAUACAGACAAGAUACUAUACUUGCAGAUCAAUUCUAUAUGUUUAAUAUUAUUAGAAACUCUAUGUUCUGAUUUAUUUCAAAUCAACUGCUCAGUGUAUUCUGGCACCAAAAGGGUAGAUUUAUCUUUCAAGCUUGAGCCCCAAAAGAGAUAUCCAACAGGAGCCUCAUACUUUUUGAAGGAAGGCCACUGCUCAGUGACCUGACACCACUCUUCAUUUCCAGAAAUUCAUUCAAAAUCCAAAUUAGUUUUGGCUAAUUAGCCUUCAAAACGACCUGUUUCUGGUUAAAAUACAGUGGGAUAGCAAAUAUUUUUAAGGAAUCACAGGUUUGGGAGGGAUAUGAGACUGCUUCUUGCCAGAAAGCAGGUAAAUUUCCAAAGAAAGUGGUUUCUUCUUUUCUGGAAGAUCUCUAAGAAUGGAGUAUUAAAACCAUCCAUCUCCAAGCAUGGAAAUAUUUUAUAUCCUGAUGGUCCAUAAUUUCUUUGUUACACUCAAUUAAGAAUUUUGUGUUACUUAUACCCAUGUGCUCUGUUCAUUCUGCAUCUUCCUAAUUGGUAUGAUGGAAAAGCCACAGACUUAGAGUCACUGACCUGGGCCUAACUCUACUUCCUCACCCUGUAUGGUUGUUCCUGUCAUUGUGCCUUUUUUUGUUUGCUUGCUUUUGAGACAGGGUCUCACUCUGUCACCCAGGCUAGAGUGCGGUGGCAUGAU